rnacentral:lncRNA from 1 species
GCUUUCAAAGGUGGCCGGGGAUCUGGAGCGCGUGGGAGCCGCAGGGGGACCGCAGGGAAGAUAAAGAAACCCAAUGGGACCGCCAGUCGCUAAACCCAGGCGAGGACGAGGGGACGGGGCUGCGAGACAAGGGGGGCUGGGAAAAAUAUGGGACGCCUCGAGCUAAUUCCCCUGAUUAAAAAUGCAUUCGUUUGGAGGUGUCAGGGACACGCAGCUGUUUUCAAGGAAAAGUCUGGCUCCGAAAGGUCCUCCCCGGCCGGGCCGCCUGGCGGCUCCAUCUCUCGGAGUGGAUGUCAGCAACCCCCGCCCCCCGCCCCCCGCCCGGGCCCCGCCGCCGACGCUUGUCCUCUGCCUGACAGGGCCCUGGCCAGUGUCCUGCUGCCGAGGGUCGUGCUUCCAUUCUAAGGCCAAUUCUACAAAGUUCUUCAGAGGAUCCUGGCGCCAUUACAUUUGGAGGGUGCACAGAUGCAAAAUGAGAGGACUGGGAAGAAAUAAAGGACAGAAACCAGAUUUCCUGUCAUUGCAAAAGUGCAAUUAAAAAUUCUCUUUCUGGAGCUUCCCUGGUGGCUCAGUGACAAAGAAUCUGCUUGCCAAUGCAGGAGACAUGGGUUCGAUCCCUGAUCCAGGAUGAUCUCAUAUGCUGCAGAGCAACUAAGUCCGUGUGCCACAACUAUUGAGCCUGUGCUGUAGAGCCCAGGAGCCGCAACUGUUCGAUCCAUGUGCCACUCACUGAAGCCUGCACUCCCUAGUGCCUGUGCUGCAGAACAAGAGAAGCCACUGCAAUGAGAAGCCCACACCCUGCAACUGAAGGUAGCCUCUGCUUAACCGAAACUAGAUAAAAAGCCCACGCAGCAGUGAAGACUCAGCACAACCAAAAAAAAAAAAAAGAUUAUUUUACUAAGUGCACUGCUGGUCUCUCGAUAACAAUGAAGCCAGCAGGUAAUGUCCAUCAGAGCAGGAACUUUGUCUUAUUUUCCACUCGGCCCCUAAUGCCUGAAACAGUGCUCCUUAUUGAAAGUACUGGACAAAUAUUUGCUGAAAGAGAAUUUGCAAAAUAACCAGACUGGCCUAACUCAGAUGUGUGCCACGCUUAUCCUACCAUCUUGUCUCUGCAUCUUCUAUGUAGCUUUCCAAUAUACCUAUUAUUAUUAUCAUUCUAAUACAGCUAGAAACAAUAGCAAAUACACAAAAUUUAUCUGUCUGUGCCAGGCACUAUACAUAUAUUUGUCUUUAAUCUUUAUAAAACCCAGCAAUGUAAACCCACUGAACCUAGGUCUGUCUGGCUGUAGUCUACGAUAAACACUGCUUCCUAAAAACACUAACCACAAAGGCAAGGAGGAGCAUUGAUGAACAGGCAUAGAUACUCCACCAAAGUCCCAGAUAAUAGGAAACCAAUUUGGUUUCUGUUUAAACUGAAGGAAGUGUCAAGGAGCAUCAUAAACACAUCAUUUAAUUGAUGAUGGAUUUUCUUGUUUAAAAUUAUUGUGGAUUAUGUAACCAACAUAUGUACUUAUCAUGUACAUAGCCCUGAGUGAAGCACUGGGAAGAGCUAUAAAAGCAGUUAACACAGGAGCUUAUACUCAGGCCUGCUAUAAAGGCCACCGUUCUUUCUCCUUUUUUAAAGAGUACUCGGUCGUUUGUCUGAGUAGUAUACAGAAGACUUAGACACACAUAAUCUGAAAAGUCCUAGAAACAUUUUUGUGGGAUGUGAAGGACAAGGCCCUGAGCUCUGUGAAGAGCUGCUUAAAUGCUCCCUGAGCAUGGCUAGAGAGGAACACAAGUAAGAAUAUAUCUGAACACAAGUAUUCGAAAGUGUCUGUGGUAUCUGCCAUGGGCUUGAGACUGCUGCCUGGGUGUCCAUUGAAUGGUUACUGUUUCUCAAAUCGGUAAUCCAGAAUUCCACUCCCACAUACCACUAAGACUCCGACUGGCUAACUUAUCUCACACAUUGUAGUAUAGUAUGAUACCAGCUAGAAAAGGACAAAACCUUCUAAUCAAAGAAGGUUUUACUUUAAGAAUUUUUAGGCAAAAUACUCUCCGACAUACAUCACAGCAGGAUCCUCUAUGACCCACCUCCAAGAAUAUUGGAAAUAAAAGCAAAAAUAAACAAAUGGGACCUAAUUAA